AACGAACGCUGGCGGCAUGCCUAACACAUGCAAGUCGAACGAGACCUUCGGGUCUAGUGGCGCGCGGGUGCGUAACGCGUGGGAACCUGCCCUUAGGUUCGGAAUAACUCCCCGAAAGGGGUGCUAAUACCGGAUAAUGUCUUCGGACCAAAGAUUUAUCGCCUUUGGAUGGGCCCGCGUUGGAUUAGCUAGUUGGUAGGGUAAAAGCCUACCAAGGCGACGAUCCAUAGCUGGUCUGAGAGGAUGAUCAGCCACACUGGGACUGAGACACGGCCCAGACUCCUACGGGAGGCAGCAGUGGGGAAUAUUGGACAAUGGGCGAAAGCCUGAUCCAGCAAUGCCGCGUGAGUGAUAAAGGCCUUAGGGUUGUAAAGCUCUUUUACCCGGGAUGAUAAUGACAGUACCGGGAGAAUAAGCUCCGGCUAACUCCGUG
rnacentral:rRNA from 1 species